rnacentral:snRNA from 1 species
AUCACUUCUCGGCCUUUUGGCUAAGAUCAAGUGUAAAAUCUGUUCUUAGCAGUUCAGAGAGUGGGGGAACGUGUAGUGUGCAGGCGAGCAAACUGCUGGCUGUAUACAGCUUGGAAAGAACGAAAACAGUUAUAUUUAAGUGUUUUAUUGUUUAGUGAUA